rnacentral:lncRNA from 1 species
GUACAGUGAAGCCAUGGAUUAAUGACUCCCAUUAGUCAGUAAAGACAGAAUACAGGGACAACCCAGGAGCAAUGCUCUCCAGCUAUCUGUCUCUCUUAAUGCCUUUCUCUCCAUAUAUCCAUCACGUAAUAUUAUUUGCCAGCUUUCUCUCUGGAACAGAUCUGAAACUUACCACACGUACCAGCUGCUAAAGUUUUCAUCGUUCUGCCUGAUGCACCUAACAAGGGAAAAUAAAAGGAAGCUUCAGUCCAAUGUGUAUAGACCAGACAGGCUCCAAUCCUUGUUUAUCAGCAUGAAGAAAAGCAUCACCGCAGGACCUUCUGCAAACAAAGGAUCACCAGAUUUUGUGGAUGUGCUUUCAUUACACGGUGCCUUUAGCUGCAAUUCUGUCACUGCAGGAAGAGCAGUGUUGCCUUCAAGCCUCUGUGCACUGUGCCUCUGACCUCAGCAUGAAGGCAGCCCCUAUCCAAUCCACCUCCACCAGCAUCACCACUGAAUGCAGCUGCUGGGGUUGGUUGCAGAAGACAAUGCAUCAGGAAAAGACAUACCUAAAGUCGUUUUCGUGAAAUACAGAAUUUUGUUGCAAGCACCAAUUUCACGCUGACUGAUAGCUACACCUGGAUCAUGUAGUUAAAACCGGGAUGGAACACAGUUUGCACUGAAUCUCUGAUAACCACAAAGCGGGGAUGAUGCCAGGUAGUUUGGUAGCCAAUAAUGGGUUGUCACUGAAGCUUACAGCCCGUGGCUGAGAUGCACCAUUAGCUACGGAUCUUCCAGGUUUAACACAAAGAGUGUUGCUGUGAAUAUGUUUAGCAGUCGCUCCAGAAGUUAAGCAUUAUGUCGUGGUGCCAUUACUGCAGUAAUGAUUGACAGAGCUAAGCUGAUCUUGAGGUACGUCUCCAUGGUUUUUCCCCAGUGAAGAGGUCAAGAUGACUAACCAACUCUGAUACAUGUGCUCAAGCCAGGUUUGAUAUUUAUUUUUAGUGCUUUGCAUAAAGCCUGGUCUUCUCAAGCAUGCACUUCGGCUCACUGCUAAUUAAAGGCAAGUUGCUGAAAUGAUGCCUUCAGAGAAAGCACCUCUCUUAACGCUGCUAAGUAGAUGCACUACACAAUAUAAAUGGUCUGAGCGUGUUGGUGCCCUGGUUCAGUCCAGUCCUUUUCAAUUUUGUUUAACAGUGAAAUGCCAAACCAACUUCUUAGCUGAUUUUUAAAAAGAAGAAGACUUUGCAGUAUAAAAAUGUGCAAAGCCGUGCUGGGAACCUUGUGACUCUUACAAUUUCAGGCUUCAAAGAGAUCAUCCAUCAGCGUGCUAAUUUCAGAUUUCUUCCUCUCGCAAUUACUUCCCUCAAAGCUCCCUCCUGCGCUCCAGCGAGAUGCCUCUAUCUGUGUGCCAAUGCCGGAGCCCAGAGUGCUUCCAAUUUACGGCUACCCAAUGCAUCAUCCACAGUACUUAGAGGGGCAGGUACUAUGAUGAGCUCUCAGUACUGAAAAAUAAUGCAUAGCUUCAGUUCUUGGUCUGUUUCUAGGAGAAAAGGGGAGGAAUUGAAUUUCGCCACUAUUCAAAUUCCUGGCCUAGAGGCAAACAUGCGUUGGUUGGUCCCAUACAGAGGUUUCUAAUGAGCAGGCUGGGACCUGACACAGUGCUGAGAGGAGCUCUGCACCAAGACCUACGGGAAGCUGUGAUCCCUCCUACCAACUCCCUGCCACGUCCUCCGCUUUCUGCCAUGAUACUGCCUUUGGGGCUUUGCAGUACCAGGAGACUCUUCUUCUGGGCAGCCUUGUGUGUGGGGCUAACUCCAGUCUGAGGGAUUUCUCCAGGCUUUUUAUUAUUUACCCCAGUAAGGAUAUACUUGUAUACACAUUUAUCUAUCCAUAUGUACGUACGCUUGGAAAAGAUAAUCCCCGCUCCCUUCUCCUCAUCCACUUUCUGAAAAAAAGUUGGGCAUCUCCUUCCUCCCCAGCCACUUACCUCACCUCAUCAGUGGACUUUGGAGGCUGCUCUCUGAUAGGUGUUAACUUGUGGCCAUUAGCUUAAAAAUCUGUUAUUUCUUCAUCACCUUAUGUGGUUGCUAGGUGACAAAUGCAUCUCCCCGACAGCAGCGGGGGCUAUUGGAGCAUACGGCCAUUUAUGACUGUCCAUUAUCUCUUUUGCUUAAAGUGCCUGUGCCUUUUGAUAGAGGAAGGUGUACAACUCCAGGAUCACCUAAAGGAUGAUUAGAGUUUCUGCAGAAACUACCUCUACUGGCUGGCUCUUUCUGGGUUCCAUGAGAGGGGAUGCAAGAGUAGGAGACAGGAUGAAUUUGGGGAGGGCCAAGAUCAGAUUAGCAGGCUGAAUUUCAGGAACUUAGCUCACUCUUGCAUGUAUGUGCCCUAUAAGAGGGAGCCUACCUUAUUUGCUUAAGUGUCAUUAUUAUUUUCACUCGUAUUUUUGGUUUGAGACAAACUUGCUGGAAACAAACUGGGGACCUCUGGAUUCUGCUGAGAGGCGGAGGUGAUUUAUCAAUGAACAGGAGCCCACCCAGAGCCCUUUAGAGCUGAUAAGCCCAGCUAGCAGUUUAAACCCACUUAAAUCUCUUCCUUAGCAGCCUUCAGAGCAUUUGGUGUCUGCUGGGGAUGCCUUCUGAGGAAGCAAGCACCUUGCUGCGCUCUGACCAACCUCUCAGUAGGGUCCAGAAUGGGGUCAUGCAUUUUCCAGCAAGGAAGGCAAGAAAAGAGAAGCAGAAAAGGGGGAAGUGGAUCAGACACAAGUACAAAAUGUAGGAAGGAUGCAGGCCAGGAUGGAGAAAACAGAGAAAUGAAAUGUGAUAUGGGAGGAAGAUGAGGAAAGGCAGGGCAGCCUGGAGUCAACCAACAAGAGCUAAUUAAGCAUGCCUUGGCUUUUUUUUAAUGUCUGUGUUUUCACAUCACCACCACAAUUGGUUUUUCCUGCAGCCCAAGUCUGCUGGGAGCUUCCCCCUCCCUGCUUGGCUUUGCUGCUGUACCUGGCUUGGUCUUUGCUUUUCCAGCUGUGUUCCUGGUGUCUGGGUUCAGCCAGGCUGCAGUCAUCCCUCCCAUUCUGUCCUUGGAAGAUUUCAGGGCUGUUAAAUUCAGAUCAAUCCAAGGAUAACAGGGAAGACUAGGUGAUGAACAUUGCCUCCCUUUGACAAGAGGUCUGAAGGAGCUUGGUUCUGAUUCUCACAGAAUGAAAGCUGUGAAGAGCUGCUUGCUCCCUACAAACUCACUGAGAUGGAUAAACCAGUACUAGGGAGAACUGUUUAAGCUAGUGGGCAGUGCUGGCAUGGGGACAAGUGGGAGCAAGCCAGCCAUGGAUAAAUGGAGGCUGAAAGGGCAGGAAAGGUUCACCCAUGCAGAGCAGUGGGGUCGUGCAGUAUCUUGUCUGUGGGAGGAGUGUGGGAUGGAAGUCACUGAGAUCCCACAGCAGAUGUAACCACUUCAGCAGGACUAACCAGAGUCCUUUUCUACCCCAUGAAAAUCGCCCCAAAUUGGUCCUUAGAACCCCAGACCGACAUGUACAGAAGUCAACUGAGACUGCUCCGGGCUUCUGUGAGCAAGGCAGGAUGAACUCCUUACAACAAGCCCUGGUAGAGCUGGCACAACUUGAUGUCUUUCAGAAGGAUUAUAGCUCAUUGCUGCUCGCUGAUGAAUGUGGCCCUUUGUGAGCCUGUGCGGGGGACGUGCUGCACAGGGGGAAGGAAAGACUUCGGGCACUCAUUUAAAUGAGUGCAAACAAGGACAACGUUGUUCUGCUGCAUCCUCCCCAGGAGCAAGGCUCUGCAGGUCACCCUCACAUCUGAGUCGCUUGCUGCUGAUCCUGGCACUCCAAAGCAGCCCAGCAGUGUGUCCGAGUGCACCAGCACAGAAGGGGGAGCGGUGAAGGAUUUUGCCUGGCAGAAAGCUAAGGGAAAAGGAAUUUGCUUUUAAGUUCAUUAUUCACAAAAGGGAUUUCUCCUACAGGUGUGUGCAUGGUUCAGACAAGGACAAACCUCCUUUAAGUGUCCGUGGAGUCCUCAGAUCCUUAAUUUGCACUUUUAUGGGAAGUCCAAACUAGAAAACUGUCCAAAGUAUAAAGUUCACUAAACUGCUGUGAGAAACAGCUACAAAUUGUUCCAGAUACCCCUGUUCCAGUUUGGCUUCUUUCAUUCCUAGCUUGGACAUUAGGACUUGAGAUAACUCCCAGCUCUGUCACCAGUUUUGCUCAUGGCCACUUCUGUGUAUUACAGCUCAACCAGAAAAACAUGAGAGACCCUUCUUUCAUCUCACAAGCUCUCCUGAUAGCUCUCCUUCCCCAGAGUAUGUCAGAAAUCAGUUCAAAGGGCUGGAUAACACUUGAGACUCGGUAAUAUAAAAGCAGAAGUGGGGAUAAAGUUGAUAAAACUAAAAGGAGCUUGAAUAAAGAGAAAGAUGGAGUAUAUCAGAAAUGAAAACAAAGUAAUCACCAGCAGAAAUUUUCCCUUCAAGGUUUCUGAUGUGAAAUUGAGGCUGAUGACGGCUACUUGAAUGCCGAAGCCUGCUGCUGUGCCUUUGUGCUCAAACAGGUCCUCUUACUUUUAAUCAGUUGAAAUUGUGUUUGUAUUUUAAAUAUUAGAAGUGGUAUUUGCGUUUAAAUUCUUUUUUUUCUUAAUUUCUCACUCUCUCUGGUUUUUUCUUUAUUUCUGUUACUCUGUUGCCAGGAGAGAAGAAAUUACAGUUAAAAAAUUAAAUGCCUUUUGUAUUUUAAUCCGUGUAAUUUACUUAGCUGCUGGAAGUAAAAAGACAAAAGGAGAAUAAAUUGCUUGAAAGCAGAUAGAGGCUUCAUUUUCCCCUUCUUCUGAGUUACUGAUAUCACAUUGGAUACCACACGGGAGGUUUUGGCUGGGAAAUUAGCAUGAGAAUAUCUGGCACAUCCUGAAACACGUUUUCAAGUCAAUUUUCCAGGCAGAACCACUUAGCAAUGAAGGC